rnacentral:rRNA from 1 species
AUUGAACGCUGGCGGCAGGCCUAACACAUGCAAGUCGAGCGCGAAAGGUUUUCGGACUGAGUAAAGCGGCGGACGGGUGAGUAAUGCAUGGGAAUCUGCCUGGUAGUGGGGGACAACGUUUCGAAAGAGACGCUAAUACCGCAUACGCCCUACGGGGAAAGGGGGGGAGUCUUCGGACCUCUCGCUAUCAGAUGAGCCCAUGUCAGAUUAGCUUGUUGGUGAGGUAAAGGCUCACCAAGGCGACGAUCUGUAACUGGUCUGAGAGGAUGAUCAGUCACACUGGAACUGAGACACGGUCCAGACUCCUACGGGAGGCAGCAGUGGGGGAAUAUUGGACAAUGGGGGAAACCCGUACGAUCCAGCAAUAGCCGCGUGAAU